ACGGGAGGCAGCAGUGGGGAAUAUUGCACAAUGGGGGAAACCCUGAUGCAGCGACGCCGCGUGAGUGAAGAAGUUAUUCGUAAUGUAAAGCUCUAUCAGCAGGGAAGAAAAUGACGGUACCUGACUAAGAAGCCCCGGCUAACUACGUGCCUGCAGCCGCGGUAAUACGUAGGGGGCAAGCGUUAUCCGGAUUUACUGGGUGUAAAGGGAGCGUAGACGGUCUUGCAAGUCUGAUGUGAAAGGCAGGGGCUCAACUCCUGGACUGCAUUGGAAACUGUAAGUCUUGAGUGCCGGAGAGGUAAGCGGAAUUCCUAGUGUAGCGGUGAAAUGCGUAGAUAUUAGGAGGAACACCAGUGGCGGAGGCGACUUACUGGACUGCUACUGACACUGAGGCACGAAAGCGUGGGGAGCAAACAGGAUUAGAUACCCUGGUA
rnacentral:rRNA from 1 species